rnacentral:rRNA from 1 species
CCUACGGGUGGCUGCAGUGGGGAAUUUUGGACAAUGGGCGCAAGCCUGAUCCAGCCAUGCCGCGUGAGUGAAGAAGGCCUUCGGGUUGUAAAGCUCUUUCGGCCGGAACGAAAUCGUCCGGGCUAAUACCCCGGAUGGAUGACGGUACCGGAAGAAGAAGCACCGGCUAACUACGUGCCAGCAGCCGCGGUAAUACGUAGGGUGCAGGCGUUAAUCGGAAUUACUGGGCGUAAAGCGUGCGCAGGCGGCUACUCAAGUCAGAUGUGAAAUCCCCG